ACUCAAAUGAAUUGACGGGGACCCGCACAAGCGGUGGAUGAUGUGGAUUAAUUCGAUGCAACGCGAAAAACCUUACCUACCCUUGACAUGUCAGGAACCUCCGAGAGAUUGGAGGGUGCCCGAAAGGGAGCCUGAACACAGGUGCUGCAUGGCUGUCGUCAGCUCGUGUCGUGAGAUGUUGGGUUAAGUCCCGCAACGAGCGCAACCCUUGUCAUUAGUUGCUACGAAAGGGCACUCUAAUGAGACUGCCGGUGACAAACCGGAGGAAGGUGGGGAUGACGUCAAGUCCUCAUGGCCCUUAUGGGUAGGGCUUCACACGUCAUACAAUGGUACAUACAGAGGGCCGCCAACCCGCGAGGGGGAGCUAAUCCCAGAAAGUGUAUCGUAGUCCGGAUCGCAGUCUGCAACUCGACUGCGUGAAGUUGGAAUCGCUAGUAAUCGCGGAUCAGCAUGUCGCGGUGAAUACGUUCCCGGGUCUUGUACACACCGCCCGU
rnacentral:rRNA from 1 species